rnacentral:rRNA from 1 species
AGAAUCAACGCUGGCGGCGUGCCUAACACAUGCAAGUCGAACGAGAAAGUGGAGCAAUCCAUGAGUAAAGUGGCGCACGGGUGAGUAACACGUGACUAACCUACCCUUGAGUGGGGGAUAACCUAGGGAAAUCUUAGCUAAUACCGCAUAAUACCCACGGGUCAAAGCAGCAAUGCGCUUGGAGAGGAGUUCGCGGCCGAUUAGCUAGUUGGCGGGGUAAUGGCCCACCAAGGCGAUGAUCGGUA